AUUUUUCCGCCUAAAGAAAAGCUCGCGGCUGAUUAGCUAGUUGGUAAGGUAAUGGCUUACCAAGGCGACGAUCAGUAUCUGGUUUGAGAGGACAAUCAGACACACUGGAACUGAGACACGGUCCAGACUCCUACGGGAGGCAGCAGUGGGGAAUUUUCCGCAAUGGGCGAAAGCCUGACGGAGCAAUACCGCGUGAGGGAAGACAGCCUACUGGGUUGUAAACCUCUUUUUUCAGGGAGGAAAAAAAUGACGUGUACCCUGAAGAAUAAGCAUCGGCUAACUCCGUGCCAGCAGCCGCGGUAAGACGGAGGAUGCAAGUGUUAUCCGGAAUUACUGGGCGUAAAGCGUCUGUAGGGUUGGUUUAAUAAGUCAACUGGUUAAAUCUUGAGGCUUAACUUCAAAACAGCAGUCGAAACUAUUUAKACUAGAGUAUAGUAGGGGUAAAGGGAAUUUCCAGUGGAGCCGGGGAAAUGCGUAAUAUUGGGAAAGAACACCGAUUG
rnacentral:rRNA from 1 species